GACCCUCUAAACGAGGUUUCCAUCUUUUAAAAAUGUAAAUAGCGGACAAAGGUGGACAAAACGUAACAAAUCAUUCCAUAAAAAACCCUUUAAAAAAUUCAACUUUUUAUACCCGUUACUCGUAGAGUAAAAGGGUAUACUAGAUUCGUCGGAUGGUAUGUAACAGGCAGCGCUAAAGCGAAACCCCCCUCUGUGUGAAUAGGAUGUUAGUCGCCAUGAAACAUCGAUUUUUCUAAAAAUGUUAAAAACAUCGAUGCAUCGAUGAUUCAAUCAAUGUUUUUCCACCCCUCUAUUGGAUGGUGUUCUGUGGUAAUUGACUCUAAGUCUUCCGUUCAUAUUUAGUAUUUGUAUACUAAGCAGCGUGACGGAAUAUGGUUUUUUAUAUACUUUUUGAUAUAUAAUCAGCUCAGAUUUUUCUCAAUUGUAUAAUUUUGGUAUAAAAUGAAAUGUUUACUCGUUUUCAUGGUAUCCCAUGCUAUUUUCUGUUGGGCCACACUUUGUAAUUCCAUUUCGCAAGCUAUGAGCAAACAAAAAUAUCGCGAUGAGUGGGAGACCAUCUCCGAAAACAAUAAAUUGCUUAGCAGGAUAAAAAUGGAUGCCCACUGUAAAGCAUGCGAGUGUGAGAUCAUGAGCGCACUGGCGCCUAUAAAACAACGCGCGGCGUCCCAGAAGCAUAAAGAGAAAACUAAAUUAAAUUAAACUUAAAGCCUAGUACUCACAUCGACGAAAACCGCGAGCUAACCAUAGGAGUGAGCAAGAGGCAGAUACGCGGCUAACGCGGUACUCAGAUAUACUAGAAAAAAUACGUGAUUUAGGUAGUGAAUUUAAUCUUUGUCGGUGUUCGUGCAAAGGCGAUGUGGAAACCAACAAUUAAAAAUGGAAGGAAAACCAAAAAAAAUACUGCAGGAGGUCAGUGCAGAUGUAAAAGGACGCCUAAUCCUUCCUGUUGCCCUUUGUUGUGGGAUUUCACCGACAGGAAGUAUUACCACAACAGGGGCAAAUCCGCAAAAUAGUAAAAGUGCUGGAUGAGAUCCACUAGAGAAUCCCAGUGUCCCUACAUGGACAUUCUGCCGGGCAAAGAAACAGAACCACCAGUAUUAUGAUCUCCGACGACCUCUCCAUUAGGACUCCGUACACCACCACCUCCUACUUUGCAGCUUAAGCGGAGCUGGUGGACCCGCUGGCUUCUAUAGGGAGGAGGAAAAUAGGGCGCCCGCUAAGGACCAGUUGAAGAAGCCAUAGUCAGCCACUGCCAGGAUGCUGGGCGACUUCCUGCAGCAUCAGCGGAUCAACCCCGUUCUCCCACUUCCUCAAGGUCCAAUAUGAAUAUUGGGACUCGGAG